AAGUGUGACCGUAGCUAACCAAGCACGCGCUAGUGGAACAAAGACCAACGUUCCACAAUUCAAUCAAUUUAUUUAUUUUAUGUAGCCAGUAGUAGCAUUAGCUAGAGCAACAGCCGAGUCAUGCGCACCGGCUCGCCCAGCAGCAAUGGCUCCCAGUCGGAGGAGGGCAGCAGCUCCUCGGAUCACCAGCAGCCGCAGCAGGUAGCCCAGGAGCAGGAGCAACAGCUGCACACUCCCACGCAUGCACACGCCGUGGUGCCAGCUGCCACAUCGGAGGAGAUUCUGGCGGAGUACGGCAGCAGCCUGAAGCUUCUCGAGUGCAACUCCCAGGUGGCCGAACUGCUGACCAUACUGCGUGACAAGAACACCACACGCAGCGAUUUCAAGUUCUACGCCGAUCGUCUCAUCCGCCUGGUCAUCGAGGAGUCGCUCAACCAGCUGCCCUACACCCAUUGCGAUGUGGAGACCCCCACCGGUGCGAUUUACGAGGGCCUGAAGUAUCGCUCCGGCAACUGUGGAGUGUCCAUCAUCCGUUCGGGAGAAGCCAUGGAGCAGGGACUUCGCGACUGCUGUCGCUCCAUUCGCAUUGGCAAGAUCCUGGUCGAGUCCGAUGCCAAUACCCAUGAGGCCCGUGUGGUCUAUGCCCGCUUUCCCGAUGACAUCGGCAGCAGGCAGGUGCUGCUCAUGUAUCCCAUCAUGUCGACUGGAAACACUGUGCUGCAGGCGGUAAAUGUGCUGCGGGAACACGGCGUACCCGAAAGCUGCAUCAUCCUGUCCAACCUAUUCUGCACUCCCAUGGCCGCUCGAACUGUGGUGAAUGCGUUCCCCAAGCUGAAGAUCCUCACGUCCGAGCUGCAUCCCGUGGCACCCAAUCACUUUGGCCAGAAAUACUUCGGUACAGACUAGAUAUUUGGGUCUAUCAGGCAGACUUGACGACUAAGCGCUGCUUAGGAUAGAUUGCAUUUGAGCGAAAGACAAAUAGACGACCCCUGCGGCCAACCAAAACUACUACUUAGCAACUGUUAGCUUUUCACAACUGGCUUUUAAUGCAACUCUCAAAUAUGUUUACGUUCGUUACGCACUAUUGUAAAUAUAGAAACGAAAUAAAUAUUUAAAUAUUUAAACUGUA